rnacentral:rRNA from 1 species
GACAGAGGUGCCAAGCGUUAGGCGGAAUCACUGGGCUUAAAGCGUGUGUAGGUGGAUUUGUAAGUACCUUGUGAAAUCCCAUGGCUCAACCAUGGAACUGCUCGGUAUACUGCGAAUCUUGAGCCACUUAGGGGCUACCGGAACAAAUGGUGGAGCGGUGAAAUGCGUAGAUAUCGAGAGGAACACCUGCGGCGAAGGCGGGUUGCUGGGCUGACACUGACGCUGAACUGCGAAAGCUAGGGGAGCGAACGGG